rnacentral:lncRNA from 10 species
CCUUAGUUCUUUUCUUAGUUCUUAGAAAAGAAGCAGAGCUAUGGAACUGUAACUCAAGGAAGAUAUAGGGUCAAGGGAAUGUGUUUAUUUGCUUGUUUCUAAGAUGAAAGAGCUUUUUUUUUUUUUAAGUAGAGGUGAUUCUAAUAGGAUCAGCAGAAAUGGUGAUUCUAAUAUGAUCAGCAGAAAUCGUGAAAGACUAAUUUGGGUU